UACCAACUGAGCCACACAUUACAUUAGCAUAGUUACAUUACAUUAGCAUAGCAGUUGUACCUAGCUACAUUACAUUAACUCCCACAACAUUAACAGACAUCUAAUAUGUCAGACUUCAUUUGAAAGUUCUGGUUCUGAAAGUAUGGCCCAAUUUUUCACAGCUGAAAAAUGCUUCUAUGUAUGUAUGUAUAUACUGUAUGUGGGAAUGUGUUAUGUCCAUCCUAUAUGCUACUUUUAUUAUUCUCCUGUAAAUGGUUCAGUGUCUAUCAUGUAGGCUGUGUCUGAGAAAGGGGCAUAAAGGAAAUGACCUCUACUAGAUUAUAGUGAUAAGGAAAUCAGCAUACAGUUUUGGCCUGUGUAUUCAUUUGCCUAUAAACUAAUCAGAAUUCCUUUAUGUUUACAUAAAACAAAAAAAGAAUACUUCAAAAUGAGAAGAUCCUGCCAUGGAAAAGACGACUGGGUGGACAUAAAGUGUAAAAGAGGGGAAAUAACUCCCACCAUGCAGCAGGACACCUUCAGCUGUGGGGUCUUUGUAAUGCAGGUUUUAUAGUUAUAUUUUCAAUAAUGAAUGAUUAGCUGUUAUAUGACAAUUAGGUCAACAACAAAAAACUAUAUUUUAUUUUUUGGUGUAGAUGGCCAAGGAAGUGGCACAGAACAUCCCUACACAAAUUGAUAUAGAACCUUCACAAAAACACAUGGAGCAACUGCGAAAAGAAAUGGCUGAGGAUAUACUAACAAAUAUCCGGUAUGUAAAUGACAUUUAAUUCAAAGUAAAUGUAAAUUAUUUAUUUUGAUGUAGUUGUGUGGGACGGCCAUAUGUUCAGUUCAGGCCGAUGAUUUCAGAGUUCAACAAAGCCGAACAACUGCUUCCUGUGUGCCACUGAUAAACAACCUGGAUGUGGCCCAAAGACUGACUGGAUUGAAUGUGUUGCAUGCCAACGGUGGUUCCAUGUGCUGUGCCUAGGAAUGAAGACAAAAGAGUUCAACAGAGUGAAGAACGUAAACAGGAAGUGCUGUCUUUGUUGUUGAAAAUGUCUGCUAAACCCCAUCCACACUGAAGAGGCUCUGAAAUGUACAUCAACCAGGGAUAAAGAGAAAGUUAACACUGUGAAAUGUUUCAUACUUAAUUGAAGUAAAGUGUCUGUCGACAUGAUGGAAAAGAUGAAAGGUCUACAAUUUCUGUUUAAUUUGUCAGUAUUACAUUUUUAUUCAUUGAUUUACUGGCCACCAUUACUGUGGUAACAGGUUCAGUAUAUGUAUUGACCAGCAAACCCACUGCAGCCUACCUCACUAGCUCGCUCUCCAUCACUGCUGUGGACAAUUAAUAGCAUGACUCUCGUACUUUGCCCUUUUUCCUUUAAAUCAAAUCAUCAAAUCAAAUGUUAUUUGUCACAUACACGUGGUUAGCAGAUGUUAAUGCGAGUGUAGCGAAAUGCUUGUGCUUCUAGUUCCGACAAUGCAGUAAUAUGGUUGAUAUUAACGAUGAAAGGAGGAAUUAUCUGUCUCUCCUAUUGUGUACCGCUGUUAAAUACUGUGGAAAAAUAAAUAAAUAAAAACAGGGAAAAUAAGUA